rfam:Picea glauca, whole genome shotgun sequence.
ACAUGCUUACAGCAUAGUGUUAAUGCAUCAGAUUCCAAUAGAACUCCAUAGUUAAGCGCGCUCGGGCUAGAGUAUUACUAGGAUGGGUGGUCGCCUAGGAAUUCCUAGUGUUUUGCAUGCC